AAUAAUAAAAAUAAAAUAAAAUAAAAAAAGGAAGAGUAACAUCACUAGGAUUCCCCUUGCGCAAUGAAGGAAACUUAGCCGAAGAGAAUUAGGUUCCAAAAUCCGUUUGAUUUCAUAUUUCCUCCAGAGCAAACAAGGUUAUUUGGCGGCCCUACUUUCCAGGUUGAUGAGUUUCCUUAAGUCAGAAAGAAUCAAGCAAACCUUACAGUUAGAGCCUCUUCCAAACAAUCUUUCUGUAUGCAUACAAAUGCUCUCAUCCAAUGGUUUUCACCUUUCACAGCAACACCCUCCUGCUUGUUU
rnacentral:misc_RNA from 1 species